UUGCAGAAUCCCGCGAACCAUCGAGUUUUUGAACGCAAGUUGCGCCCGAGGCCACCCGGCCGAGGGCACGCCUGCCUGGGCGUCACGCCUCGCGUCGCUCCGCCUACCUCGCCCAGAGCACACCGUGCUCCCGCGGCGGCGGGCGGCGG
rnacentral:rRNA from 1 species